GGUUAACACCUCCAUGUUACUUUAGUGUUGCGUAAAUGGAGUUGAAGAAGAGUUUAGAAGGUAAGCAGGCGAGACACACUCGGGAUCUUUACAUCGCGGAAAGCUGUGCCGCGCUGAAGAUUUUGUCCCUUACCGCGUCGUUGCUACACUAUUUCCUGAGCACAAAUCCGACUUGCGAUUUCACGAAAUUUCACGAGCGAGUUCCCCCAUUCAUUCACGGAGGGCGACUCUCAAAAUUCCUAUCCAAACAAAACGUCGCAUUGUCAACACCUGGAUCCCGUUCUUCAUAAAUCUACAUCAGCAAAUCAGGACAUUAGCUUUCAUGGGGAUUUAAGCCAGUCGGUAGACGACGUUAAGUCCGCGUCGCGAAGGACUUGACAAGACGAAGAGGAAAAAAGUGCGUACCGACUCGUGGUCCCGUGGCGUCGUGGAUUUAUUACGAGAAGAAGAGAUGCAAACGGAGAGGCUAAGGGACUGAGGAAAAUGGAGAACGAUGGUGUGGCUCUGGGUAUCCAGCCAGGCUACUGAAAAUGGAAAAUCUUUUCAGACGAGGCUGGAAUACCUUUAAACGCGGAAGCUAACGUGGGUACGAGAUGUCAGACUGCAAAGGCUCGUCGCCAGCAUAUUUAUGACGUGAGCAGAAUCGUCCUGGUAAAAUUGAGAUCCUAGAAAGGGUGUCGGCAACCACACGCGGUUGAUUAUGGCAUAUUUGAACGCCAGCUCCGAAGGGCUGUCCUUUUGAUCUUCCGUAAAAAUCGCACCUGUAACAUUGAGAAAAGUCGAACCAUCAAUAACUGAGAUGCUGGGAUUCUUCGAAAACUUGGAAAAUAAUUUUUGUAGUAUAAGUUGUUUGUAGUAAUACUUUGUGGCGAAAUAACCAGCGGUCAAAAUAAUAUCUUUAGAUACUUUGACGGAAGCAUUUACGUACGCUUCGUCAUUAGUUGAUCGUUUUGUAUUCAGUUUAAUGAGUUGUUUAUAGUAGAGUCAUGGAGAAUCAAUCUUUAAUUAAAUUCCGGUGAUCGAAUAUGGCAGGGUCGCGUAAGAAACUAACGCUGGCAAGAAAAUGUUUCGAUGUUAGCAACACGUUUAACUCGAAACAUCGUCUCUCUGUUCCGUAUAUUUCUCCACCAACCUUUUAAUUACAUUAUAUCAAUUAGACCCCUGACAAGUUGAACGGACGCAAUUACAGACGAUCGAUUACACCUUCGUAAGAGCGAAACGUUUAUAAUCGCGUUUGCCCGCGAGCUAACGUCUACUGAAAGCAACGAUUGAAAAUAAAUGUGCGCUUCAUUGCUUUACAAUUACUUAAUUGAGCCGUAUAAUCCGCGAAACUUUGGGGAGGAACAACAAAAGUUUCUUUUACAAAGAAAGUGAAACAUUUCCAAUACCGACGACGUACAUUUCGCGAGAGGGAAGCCAUUAAAUUAAAAUCACGGUAAAUGGCUGCAGAAACUUUGGACGAAGAAUUAAUCAAUAGAUUAUUCGGAAAGCUGUCGUAUCUCUAGAAUACUAAGAAUUCCGACAAAGAGUCAUGUUGAUAUUUAAUAGAUUGCUUUACGUAUCGCGUUGUACGAGCAUUACAGGCGUCUAAAGUCGUUGACAUGGUUUCUGCAAUUCUGAUAUGACUAUCAUUGAUAUGAUCUUUGUAACCCCUCAGAAUCUUCAAAUGAUUCUCAUUGUCAACUUCAUUUCGCAAUCUC
rnacentral:misc_RNA from 1 species